GUUCAUAGUAAAAAGCACAAAGUGUUAUGGGAAAGUGAAGGAUGCUAUGCAAAUGUUCCAUUUAUGGUUUUAGCACGCAAGGUUUUGGAUUGCUCACAUGGAAUAGAUCGUAAUGAUGCAGCAAAGAAAGCAUACAAGAAUAAGACAAAAACAAAGAUAACUGAACACUCUUGUAUGAGGAGUUAUAUUAAUGUGCAGGACACAAAAAAAUUUGAAUGCCCAGCCCAAGUUAUUUUGAAGGAAAUUAUAUACUUCAAGGAUUACAUGGUAAUUUUAAAGUGAUUUACUAAGAUAAUAAGAAUUUUUGGUACUAUAUAUAAUGCACCAACAUUAAAAAAAUUUUAAGAAUAGCAUUUUAAACAUGUUUUGUAAUUUAUAAUUCACGCCAAUAUUAGAACUACUUUUAAUUCAACGCAAAAAGAGUGCAAAGCCAUAUAAGUAAAACACACUCGCAGCGUUGUUUUAAUAAGACAAAAUUGAGAUGUAAUUUAUUUAAAUGCAGGUCUAGACCGGAGUUUUAGUAAUGCUUAUUAUGUUUUAUUUGAACAUACUUCUAUCCAUGUAACUUUUUUUUUUUGGACAUAUCACUGCAUAAACUGUAUAAUUUUUUUGGGCAUGUCACUGCAUAAACUGUAACAUUAAUUACCUCUUUUUUGUUUAUUUCCGUUUUCAUAAUUUUAAACCUUGCUGAACCCAACACAUGGAAAAAGAGAAAAAUUUCUUUAAAAAUAAAAAAUUUGCUCAAGAACAAGAGCGACAUUGGAUUCACUGAGAAGCGAAUUAAGCUAAUUAUUGAUGACAUUUCAGAACACAGAAACCAUGCUGUUAGAGAAGAUAUAAUGUUAGCUAAUUCCUUUUGAUGCUGAGUUUCAGUCAUGAUUUUGAGAGCUUAACAUCAAAACCUGAUGUUUAACUUUUGAAUCAUAAACUGAGAGUCAAUACAAUAUAAGAUUGCAAAUCAUGAAAAUGUCAACUGAGAAAAAGAAAGACCUAAUAAAAAAUCGGAAAUUAGAAGGGAUGACCAAUCAAAGGUAAUGAAGUGUUGUGAAAUGGAGUUCAAACAAAUGGAAAAAUUAAAUUUGGCAACAAAAAAAUGGCAUCAUUUGUUUUUACCAUUUGUUUCUAAUUUAGGUUAUGUCAUAAUUUUGUAAUAAUUUAUUUAAUAAAGUAUUUUUAAAAAUUCAGUUUUAACAAAUGUAAAUACUGGCUACCAUUAUAAAUUACCCUUAAAUAACAAAAUUUUCUAAACUACAUACAAAAGUAAUUUAAAAAGUUAACGCUUAGCAAAGUCAAGUUAUGAU